UGUGUUUUACACUUGACAGACACCGGAAGAAAUAGAAAGAUUGACGGUUGAUGAAGACCUCAGUGAUGUUGAAAGGGCUGUUUAUCUGCUCAGUGCUGGUCAAGAUAUCCAAGGAACAAGUGUGAUUGCAAAUCUUCCAUUUUUGAUGCGACAGAAUCCUACUGAGACACUUCGGAGAGUUUUGCCAAAAGUCAGAGAAGCCCUGCAUGUUGCAGGAGUGGAAAUGCAGCUAACGGCCGCAGUGUCCUUUCUGACCAUCCUGCAGGAAGAGUCAGUGUCCACCCAUGCGUAUGCCCACUCCUUCCUCCAAGUCAUUCUCCUGCACCUGGAGCACAGGGACACAGGUGUCAGCAAUGCUUGGCUGGAGACUCUUCUGUCUGUGAUAGAAGUGUUGCCUAAAGAAACCCUGAGACAUGAGAUUUUGAAUCCACUCGUUUCCAAGGCACAACUGUCCCAAACAGUCCAGUCCCGUUUAAUUAGUUGUAAAAUUUUAGGAAAAUUGACCAACAAAUUUGAUGCCCAUAUCAUUAAAAGAGAAAUACUCCCUCUGGUAAAAUCACUCUGCCAAGAUGUAGAAUAUGAAGUCCGAUCUUGUAUGUGUCGGCAACUAGAAAAUAUAGCUCAGGGCAUUGGGGCAGAACUUACAAAAAGUGUGGUGCUCCCUGAACUAAUAGAACUCUCUAGGGAUGAAGGCAGCAGUGUGCGACUUGCAGCUUUUGAAACUUUGGUUAAUCUGCUUGACAUAUUCGACACAGAUGACAGAAGUCAAACUAUACUUCCCUUAGUGAAAUCAUUUUGUGAAAAAUCUUUUAAAGCAGAUGAAUCAAUUCUUAUUUCUUUAUCUUUCCAUUUAGGAAAACUAUGCCAUGGACUAUAUGGAAUUUUUACUCCAGAUCAACACUUGAGAUUUUUGGAGUUUUAUAAGAAACUUUGUACAUUGGGUUUGCAACAAGAAAAUGGACACAAUGAUAACCAGAUUCCACCCCAAAUCCUGGAGCAGGAAAAGAAGUAUGCUUCAGUACGGAAGAACUGUGCCUAUAACCUCCCGGCCAUGAUUGUUUUUGUUGAUCCUAAAAACUUCCACAUGGAACUCUAUUCUACAUUCUUCUGCCUUUGUCAUGACCCUGAAGUACCGGUCAGACACACUAUCGCUAUUUGCUUUUAUGAAGUGUCCAGACUUCUCAAUUCUGGAGUAUAUUUAAUACAUAAAGAACUGAUAACAUUAUUACAAGAUGAAUCACUGGAGGUACUAGAUGCUCUUAUAGAUCGUCUUCCAGAAAUUUUGGAGCUUAUGUCUACUGGUGGAGAAAGCAGUGUUCAAGAAAAUAAGCUGUCCUCUGUGCCUGACUUGAUCCCGGCACUCACGGCUGCUGAGCAGCGAGCUGCAGCCUCUCUGAAGUGGAGAACCCAUGAGAAGCUGCUGCAGAAAUAUGCCUGUCUGCCACACGUCAUAUCGAGUGAUCAGAUUUAUUACCGUUUCUUACAAAGAAUGUUCACAAUCAUGAUGACAAAUAAUGUCUUACCAGUCCAAAAGGCAGCUUCACGAACUCUAUGCAUUUUUCUACGAUACAAUCGUAAACAAGAACAGAGACAUGAGGUUAUUCAGAAAUUAAUUGAACAACUGGGCCAAGGAAAAAGUUACUGGAAUAGACUUCGAUUUUUGGACACCUGUGAAUUUAUCAUAGAGAUCUUUUCCAAAUCAUUUUUCUGUAAAUAUUUCUUUCUACCUGCUAUUGAGCUUACACAUGAUCCAGUAGCAAAUGUGAGAAUGAAACUGUGCUGUCUGUUGCCCAAAGUGAAAUCAACUCUGAAGAUUCCUGCAGAUAAGCACCUACUUCAGCAGUUAGAAAUGUGUGUAAGAAAACUCCUGUGUCAAGAAAAAGAUAAAGAUGUUCUGGCUGUUGUAAAAAGAACUGUGCUGGAAUUGGACAGAAUGGAAAUGUCUAUGGAUGCUUUUCAGAAAAAGUUUUAUGAAAAAGAUUUGUUGGAUCAAGAGAAAGAAAGAGAAGAACUGCUUCUUUUGGAAAUGGAGCAAUUAGAGAAGGAGAAGCAACAGAAUGAUGGCAGGCCCUCGAGUGAUAAAAUCUUUGAGAAAAAACGCAGAGAUAUGAAGAGCCUGUCGCAAAGUCUGCCCAAGAGCAUCCCCAUUUCUGUUCCUGGACCCUCUUCUAGCAGCUCAUCAGCAAGCAAAGAAAUCAAGAAAUCCAAAUUGAUUCGAAGCCAAUCUUUUAAUAAUCAAGCUUUUCAUGCAAAAUAUGGCAACUUAGAGAAAUGUGCUAGUAAAACUACAGCAGGAUAUACACCUUCUGUCUCAGGGUUAACAAAGAAUUCUGUGCUUUCACUAACUGAUGAUUCAUUCCGAACUCGAAGUGCCAGCAGUGCUCCAGCCUCCUUUUCUCUCAAUUCCUCCAUACCCAGUACCUCCCGUGGGACAGUUAACCCAACAGAUCCAGACAACAGCGGAAGUAAAGACUCACAACCCCGGAAGGCCACCUUGAAAUCCAGAAAAUCCAACCCUUAAAUCAACUGUUGAAGGAGACAAAGCAAAGACACCGGGAUGAACGUGGCUGGUGGACGAAAACUAAAGCGGUGGCUGGGCUUUAUUUCUUUUUUUUUUAAUUUUUGUUUGUUUUAAUGAAUGGAGAAAGAGACACAAUGGCAACUUAUGUUAAACUUGACCAUAUUUGAAAUUAAAUUCCCUAAGAGAGCAAGACGGCUCAUUCUUAAGUAAUGAAUAAGAGAAGCACAGUGAUCUCAACUAUAAACUACUCAGGGGAUGAUUACUUGGUAAAAGACUUCUUCAGGUCAUCAGUUUCCCCUUUUCUUUCCACCUGGCCUCUUUCGGGCAGUGCGUGUACAGUGAUUCAUAAUAUCCUGACUGAGAGGACAAUCAGGUAAAUAGAAUUGUUCGACUACUCAUUUUAACAGUAGUUAAAAAUCCAGUAGAUAUGAGAAACUUGCCAUUUCUGGUUAAAGAAAUUCAGCAUAGUUUCUGUGUAUUUCACUUAGCAAUUUUUAUUGCUGUCAUCUUCUACCAGUCUCAAUAAUAUGGACUUGACUGCAUUGUGUUCUGGAGAAUGUGUGGUGUGCAGUGGGACAGCAAAGCCCAUCUGUUGUUCCAUAGUCAGCACCGGCUCUUAUUUUAAAUAAAAUGGAGAAUUUCAAUUUAAUUGUUAAAAUACGUACCAAAGUUAUAAGUUUUUGUUUUCCCAUUAUGAAUAUGAGAAAAGGAAAGUUGUGUGAAAGGAAAAACACUACUAGUAGAGUUAAGAAAUAUAGAGAGAAGUCAGUUGCAUUCUUACAGCUAGUCAUUAAAUUCUUAGUUCAACAGUUAAUCAGAUUACUUUUGGACAAGUUGAUUUUUUUUCUCACAAACAUAACCUCUAAAAUUUUUGAAAUGUUUGUUAAAAUGAUAUUUCCAAGGACAGAUAUCAGCAAUCAAAAAUGGUGACAGUUAUGACUAUCCUCAUGUACCCCAGAAACAAGACUGAUAUUCUUCUGAGAAUUCUGUUUAACAGCCUCUCGUGUAGAUUCUUGUCGAUUCAUGUCGGUAACUAGAGGCAGACAAGGCCAUCUGAGGCUGAAAAGAACUGACCUUUCCAUGACCAAGCGUGACUGUGUUCAUUUCAGAGCAUUGUGUUCUCAUAGACCAGUGAUGGCGAACCUUUUAGAGCUUUCAAUGAUACAAACAGCCCACUGCAGCACACACGCCAUAGGUUUACCACCACUAUUGUAGAUUUUUCUUUUCUAGAUUGCAUCUGUUAGAAGUGAGAACAGUGCUGGAACCCUGUUCUUCUCUCUACAUUUCCCACAGACAAAUCUGGUUGACUGGACCUAGGUCAUAUAGGAUGCCAGUUUAAGUUAGUCUUCUUCCAUUGUUUCUCUCUCUCUAGGCUCUAGAAUUUCCUGCCUGUCAAAAAUGUCAAUUAGUACUCUGGGAUGGACUACAGGAAUGAAUUCAUGCCCACAUAUGGGGAUGGUGAAGUCAGUGUUUAGGCUGCCUGUUAGUAUUACCACCUAUUCCCAUUGCUUUGAUUUUAGUAAUCGAGGCAAUAAGUACGUUUUAGCAUAAGUAUAUCUAAGCACUAGCACAGAUAGAAAUCCAAUUAUGCAUUUAGUGAACACAGCUGACAGUCUAAGAUUUGUAAACUUUAUUUAGGAUUCUCUGGCUUGACCGUCCUAAAGUGGUGCCUUGUUUCCAUGCCAGAAAAUGGCUGACACAGCCCCACAGGCAUUGCUGUUCUCCUUUUGCCCUUGGGUUGGAGUCCAUGCUUAUAUUCUGUUUAACCAUGGUGGACAGCUCUGAAAUAAACACUGUGGAGCAGGAUCCCAGCACAUUUUCCAGGGCGGGAAGGAAGAUGAACAGGGUGUGGGGGUUAGACACGGAGGCCAGACCUCUGGUGCACCGGGGCCGCACUGGGAGACCUUGGUCUUCCUUCCACUGAGAUAGAGGUUUGAUUUAUCCAUCAGGUGAAGUAGGCACGGUGCCUGAGGCAGUCAUGGUGAAACUUUUGGAGACUGAGUGCCCAGACUGCACCUCAAAACCCACUUACUUAUCGCAAAGUGCCAACCCUGUAACUACAUCUGAAUACUGAGGUUUUUAGUUUAGGAAAAACAGAUGUUACCUGAGGCACGGCCGCUGGGGUAAAUUGGCUCACAUAUCCACAGAGAGGCUCUGCCUGCCCGCUGCAGCACGCGUGCCAUAGCUUUGUCAUCCCUGGCCUAAGGUCACCACGCCUCUAAGGGCUGAGGAAGAGGUUUUAUUUCUAGCAGAAAGCAAGACACAUAGUUUGCAUUGUUAGAAGGGUGAAUAACCCAGAAUAUAUUCGUCCUGACACCAAUGAAGUUAUGUAUGAAUAAUGUAAAUAGUAUAAAUGUAUAUAUAAAUACUACAAAUCGUAUAUGUGCUAAAUCUAUAUACACACACGUGUGUGUGUGUGUGUGUGUGUGUGUGUGUGUGUAUGCCUAGUGCCUUCGAAAGUCACAGUGUGAUCCAAUUUCUGGGCCUCUUAUUCUUUUCUUUGUAAAAUGAAAGCAUUUAACUGGAUGAUCUUUGGUGAAGCACAGAGUCAAAUAAACAUCAUUGAGUUAGACACUGAUCAGCACUGGUUAUGGCAGUUUUCUCUAACUUUGGUCAGCACGGAAUAUUCUGUAACAGACUGAAGUGAAAUGCUUACUUUCCAUCACAGAGAAGUGGACAGAGAAGCAUGGCUCAAGGAGGUUGCUUGCCCUACCCUCAAAGGCUUCCUUGUGGAAUUGGGUGCCAGUCUACUAUGUGUCGAGUACAGAUGUGUGAGCGAGAUAUGAGAGAGGAGAGGUCCUCCACCUAGGUAGGCUUCCGGCACUUAACUAAGGCUCUUAGGACCAGGUUUAAAUGCCAGACAGAUUGCACAGACAUCUCCUGUAAAUGAGUGUCAGUUUAAUAUGUGUGUUAAUUUGAGAACAGCCCAUAGCAGCUAAGGACAGCAGGGAUGUGCCUUUCCUCGGCCACCUGGCAGGAUGACCCAUGUGGGUGCAGACGCCUCCACCUCAGCCAGCACCUGAUGUCACACUGAGUGCUCUUGCAUGUCCUGAGUCACAGGACAGUCGGGUUGACCACCCUGCCCAGAAACAGGAGCAUCCUGGAGGUUUCCUCAUAG